UUUCAUCCUUUUUUGCUGCCUAAUUUCUCUCAUUUUCUCCCUCGUCGUAAGGAAAGACACACUUUUGAAGAAGGCUUGCGUGGCGAUGGGUGUGAAUCGGGGUUCUGCAUCGGCUGUCAGAUCAUGUAUUGGGAAAUGAGAAGAAAAACAAAUCUAGAAUUGGACGUGUACUAAAAAAAAAAAAAAAAAAAGAAAAAAAAAAACCCACUUUGGAGACAAAGCCAAGAAAAUGAUACUUCCCUCCUUCUAAGGCGGAAUGUGUGGUCUUCACUUAAGGCAUCAAUAACCCAUACGUGUCCAGAGUAGUUGGAUUUGGGAACUAACAGCAUUACUUAGAAAAAUUAAAGGAGAGGGACAAAGCAUCCACAAUGCCCACUGGAAUAUCAAUAGAAUUUGACAACUCAAAAGGUGUGUUCUUUUCGGGCCAGACGGUAACAGGGCGAGUUAGAGUUACCUGCGACAAGCCAAAGUACUGUCGAGCGAUUGAGGUAGAGUUUCAAGGGUAUGGAAGAGUCCACUGGACAGAAAGAAGCAAAACUCAGAAGAAUGGCAAACAAAGAACAAAGACUAUCCAUUUUAAAAGUAAUGAGAGUUAUUACUUAAUGUCCUACAUCGUGUGGGGUAAUGGUGAGUAUUUGUGGUC